rnacentral:lncRNA from 1 species
AAAUGAAUGUUAUGAUAUCUCUAUUUCACCGUGAUCAUCUAUCGAGGUGAACUAUUAUAGUAACAGACAGAAUUGCUCUACGAAUGCCCAUGGUGGUUUUCUCAACUAAGUCACAACUGACCAUGAUCUUAUGUCUAGCUCAUAUGCACAGCUAUCCACUAGCUCACUUAUAGGUUGCUCUUUAAUCGUCUAACAAGUGGCGCUCUAACUACCUAACAGACUUCUCAAAUGGCCUAACAAACUCUGGAAUGACCUUCUCAUCCUCUCUAUAAAUAAAAGGUCAGAGAUCCUCUAUCAGCAAGUUCUGCUCUCUGAAACUAAGGG